rnacentral:lncRNA from 1 species
GAAGUAGAGGAGUGAAGAUUUUAUUUUAAAUUCAGAGCUACAGGGGACCACCAAGUGGGCAAAUGUGGAAGAGCAUAGUGGUCUGGUUGGCGUGUAGUCUUGUCCAUACUGUACUGCAGAAGAGAAGAAGCUGUGGGGGACAGAUGGCAACAUAGUGGUUAGAGCUGCUGCCUUUGGACCCAACGGUCACAAGUUCCAAUCCCCACUCCAGCUGUUGUACCCGUCAGCAAGGUACUCCCUCUAAAUUGCCCCUGUAAAAUAACCCAUCUGUAUGAAUGUAUAAGUAAUUAUAAGUCACUUUGGAGAAUAGUGUCAGCUAAAUGAAUAAAGAUUAGAAGCCUUCCCCA